CCCUGGGUGGUGAAAACGGUUAACGCACUUGGCUGCUAACCAAAAGGUUGGAGGGUUGGAUCCACCCAGAGGGA
rnacentral:tRNA from 1 species